rnacentral:rRNA from 1 species
CCCUUAGAUGUUCUGGGCCGCACGCGCGCUACACUGAUGCAUUCAACGAGUCUAAAACCUGGUCUGAUAGGGCUGGGUAAUCUUUUGAAUGUGCAUCGUGAUUGGGAUAGAUGAUUGCAAUUCUUCAUCUUCAACGAGGAAUGCCUAGUAAACGCAAGUCAUCAGCUUGCAUUGAUUACGUCCCUGCCCUUUGUACACACCGCCCGUCGCUCCUACCGAUUGAAUGUUCCGAUGAAUACCAUGGACUGAGAGUAUGAAUGGGUUCGCCUAUUUCUGCGUCUCGGGAAGUGGAGUAAAUCUUAACAUUUAGAGGAAGGAGAAGUCGUAACA